GAUCCUGGCUCAGGACGAACGCUGGCGGCGCGCCUAGCACAUGCAAGUCGAACGGUGAAGAGGAGCUUGCUCCUCGGAACAGUGGCGGACGGGUGAGUAACACGUGAGCAACCUGGCUCUAAGAGGGGGACAACAGUUGGAAACGACUGCUAAUACCGCAUAACGUAUGGGAUGGCAUCUUCCUGAUACCAAAGAUUUUAUCGCUUAGAGAUGGGCUCGCGCCUGAUUAGA
rnacentral:rRNA from 1 species